GACGAACGCUGGCGGCGUGCCUAAUACAUGCAAGUUGAGCGCUGAAGGUUGGUACUUGUCCCAACUGGCUGAGCAGCGAACGGGUGAGUAACGCGUGGGGAAUCUGCCUUUGAGCGGGGGACAACAUUUGGAAACGAAAGCUAAUACCGCAUAAAAACUUUAAACACAAGUUUUAAGUUUGAAAGAUGCAAUUGCAUCACUCAAAGAUGAUCCCGCGUUGUAUUAGCUAGUUGGUGAGGUAAAGGCUCACCAAGGCGAUGAUACAUAGCCGACCUGAGAGGGUGAUCGGCCACAUUGGGACUGAGACACGGCCCAAACUCCUACGGGAGGCAGCAGUAGGGAAUCUUCGGCAAUGGACGAAAGUCUGACCGAGCAACGCCGCGUGAGUGAAGAAGGGUUUCGGAUCGUAAAACUCUGUUGGUAGAGAAGAACGUUGGUGAGAGUGGAAAGCUCAUCAAGUGACGGUAACUACCCAGAAAGGGACGGCUAACUACGUG
rnacentral:rRNA from 1 species